rnacentral:sRNA from 1 species
ACUUCUUCCCCGUCCUGCCAUGAAUUUUUUUCACUGCAUUUACUGCUGUUGGGUCUCACCUGUUCUCUGCUUUGUUCCCCAGGCACAAGCAAACAGGACCUGACUUCCUUCAACAUGGAGCUGUCCUCCAGCGGCAUCAGUGCUGACCUCAGCAGGGGCCAUGCAGUCGUGGGGGCAGUAGGAGCCAAGGACUGGGCUGGGGGCUUUCUCGACCUGAAGGCAGACCUGCAGGAUGACACAUUUAUUGGGAAUGAACCAUUGACACCAGAAGUGAGAGCAGGCUAUUUGGGUUACACCGUGACCCGGCUGCCCUCCCGGGAAAAGACUUCGUUGCUGGCCUCGGGAGCCCCUCGAUACCAGCACGUGGGCCGAGUGCUGCUGUUCCAAGAGCCACAGGGCGGAGGACACUGGAGCCAGGUCCAGACAAUCCAUGGGACCCAGAUUGGCUCUUAUUUCGGUGGGGAGCUGUGUGGCGUCGACAUGGACCAAGAUGGGGAGACAGAGCUGCUGCUGAUUGGUGCCCCACUUUUCUAUGGGGAGCAGAGAGGAGGCCGGGUGUUUAUCUACCAGAGAAGACAGGUGGGG